rnacentral:rRNA from 1 species
AAAUUGAAGAGUUUGAUCAUGGCUCAGAUUGAACGCUGGCGGCAGGCCUAACACAUGCAAGUCGAGCGGAAACGAGUUAUCUGAACCUUCGGGGAACGAUAACGGCGUCGAGCGGCGGACGGGUGAGUAAUGCCUAGGAAAUUGCCCUGAUGUGGGGGAUAACCAUUGGAAACGAUGGCUAAUACCGCAUAAUGCCUACGGGCCAAAGAGGGGGACCUUCGGGCCUCUCGCGUCAGGAUAUGCCUAGGUGGGAUUAGCUAGUUGGUGAGGUAAGGGCUCACCAAGGCGACGAUCCCUAGCUGGUCUGAGAGGAUGAUCAGCCACACUGGAACUGAGACACGGUCCAGACUCCUACGGGAGGCAGCAGUGGGGAAUAUUGCACAAUGGGCGCAAGCCUG